UUCACGAGUUCACACUUACAUAUAAUUAGCUGAAGUAUAUAAUGCAUAUUUGGUGUGCUGUCCGGGGAAGGGCUCCGAGCUCGGGAAUGGCCCGAACCUAGAGUACCCCCCCCCUCUACAUAAGUGUAAAAUGAACUCUAAGUGGAGGAGAUGGGGUGGAGGGGGGAUGCUGAUAAACCGUCAAUGGAUAGGGGUAAGUCAGCUGUAUUUAUACCCUAGUGUUGAUUAUCUUAAGUGAGCUCCACCUGUGCUAAUUAGGCUAAGUAUCUGACGUGCUCUUCCCGAACCUUGUUAAUAAAACAUCAUUUCACGAGUUCACACUUACAUAUAAUUAGCUGAAGUAUAUAAUGCAUAUUUGGCGUGCUGUCCGGGGAAGGGCUCCGAGCUCGGGAAUGGCCCGAACCUAGAGUACCCCCCAAAAAGGCAAUAGCAAAAGGACAGCCGCCAGACUAAGGACCCCCCCACAAUAGCAUUGAGAUCUGGCGGGGGCUGAUAUUUGGAAAGUCAGCUGGUUGGCAGGCCGGAAGAGCCUACGUACUCCGGUGGGAGCGACUUAUACAUUUGGAAAGGUAGGCCCUACCGGCUGCUGGUAUCGGACUACGUGAUUUGGGGCGCCCGGUCGGGAGGGCUCGAGCCGUUGCUCAACCGGAGCACCUCACUGCAUUGGAACGGAUGAGCCCUACCGGCCGAUGAAGGAGGAGCAGCGUGAUUGGAUAGCCCGACCAGGAGGGCCCGAGUUGCCUCGACUGGAAUAGGUCACAGUGUUGGCGUACGGGCCCUACUGGCUGAUGAGCCCCUGCUAAUCAGUGGGCAACCAGGGCAGAUUACUGACCGAGAGGGCCCAUGAAGCCUCCGACUGGAGAUCGAGACUCAGGACGACGGACGUGUAGGUCCUCUCAGUUGAGCAGAUAAACAGGCUUUGGGCCGCCGGCAAAGAGGACUCUAGCGACAUCCGAUGGGAGAUCAAUACUCACGGCAUCAGAUGGAUAAGACCUGUUUGUGGGCAGCAAGUAAAGAAACCCAACCGGGAGCACUCUCGCCGACAUCUGACACGAGCACAAUACUCAACGGCAUCAGAUGGGUAAGCCUCGCCGGCCGGGGAGCGGGAAAAGGAAAACCCGACUGCGCGGGCUCUCGUGGCAUCCGAUGGGAGAUCAGGACUCAGGGCAUCGAACGGGUAAGCCUCACCAGGCGGGGGGAAAAGAUUUGGACAGCGUUUGGCAGGAGGUCGAGACUAUUAACGUCGUACGGCUGAGCAUCGCCACCCGUCAAACAGGAACGAAAAGUUAGGUGGCCGUGAGACUCUCGCCGACGUCCGAUGGGAGCUCAAUACUCAAGGCAUCGAAUGGAUAAGCCUCUCCGGACGCAAGACGGAAAGGUAAAGGUGUGUGGCCGGGAGGCUCUCGCCGACGUCCGAUGGGAGCUCAAUACUCACAGCAUCGGACGGGUAAGCCUUUGUUGACCAUAGGAUGAAAAAAGUAAGUUGUCUAGCCGGGAGACUCUCGCCGACAUCCGAAGGGAGCUCAAUACUCGCAGCGCCGAACGGGUAAGCCUCGCCGACUGUAGAAAGGAAAAGUAAUGUUGUCUAGACGGGAGGCUCUCGCCGACGUCUGAUGGGAGGUAAAUACUCGCGACAUCAAACGGUUAAGCCUCUCCGAACAUAAGA
ensembl:lncRNA